rnacentral:sRNA from 1 species
AACGCACUCCCACCUGCAAAUCCUGCUGCCUCUGGAGCAGCUCCGACCCUCCUACGGAAACUGGGGCCACACGUUCCCUCUAACUGGACUUGAUCUGCUCGGCUUGCAGACACCAUGGAAGGUUCUCCUGGGACUGCUGGGGGCUGCUGCGCUUGUCACCAUCAUCACCGUGCCCGUGGUUCUGCUGAACAAAGGCACAGAUGAUGCUACAGCUGACAGUCGCAAAACUUACACUCUAACUGAUUACUUAAAAAAUACUUAUAGACUGAAGUUAUACUCCUUAAGAUGGAUUUCAGAUCAUGAAUAUCUCUACAAACAAGAAAAUAAUAUCUUGGUAUUCAAUGCUGAAUAUGGAAACAGCUCAGUUUUCUUGGAGAACAGUACAUUUCAUAUGGCAAAGUGGAUCUUUCUCUCCUUCUUGAAAUGCUCCCUGCCUUGGCUACUUUUUAGUCUCCUUUGACGAUUCCUCUUCCUCUGCCCAUAUUUUUAAAUGAUGAGUUUGGACAUUCUAUCAAUGAUUAUUCAAUAUCUCCUGAUGGGCAGUUUAUUCUCUUAGAAUACAACUAUGUGAAGCAAUGGAGGCAUUCCUACACAGCUUCAUAUGACAUUUAUGAUUUAAAUAAAAGGCAGCUGAUUACAGAAGACAGGAUUCCAAACAACACACAGUGGGUCACAUGGUCACCAGUGGGUCAUAAAUUGGCAUAUGUUUGGAACAAUGACAUUUAUGUUAAAAUUGAACCAAAUUUACCAAGUCACAGAAUCACAUGGACUGGGAAAGAA